AAUUAAUGGUGCAGCCAUUUUUGAAUCAACAUUUUGAAGCGUUCUCAUGCCUCAUAGAAACUUUCUCCCUCUAUUUUUCUGAAGAUAGCAGUCUCGUUUCUUAGUU
rnacentral:snoRNA from 1 species